rnacentral:rRNA from 1 species
UACGGAGGGUGCAAGCGUUAUCCGGAUUUACUGGGUUUAAAGGGUGCGUAGGUGGGCAGAUAAGUCAGCGGUGAAAUCUCCAGGCUUAACUUGGAAACUGCCAUUGAUACUAUUUGUCUUGAAUAUCCUGGAGGUGAGCGGAAUAUGUCAUGUAGCGGUGAAAUGCUUAGAUAUGACAUAGAACACCUAUUGCGAAGGCAGCUCACUACGGGAUUAUUGACACUGGGGCACGAAAGCGUGGGGAUCAAACAGG